AGGAUGUUUCAGGUUUUCUACUGCAUCCUCCACACUCAGAAGAAACCAGCUAAGCACUUCCCCAGUCACUAAAGACUUGGAAGCAGAGCUGAAGGUGACAGCCAAAGUGUUCUCCAUGGCCAGAAAAUGCAGACAAAAAGCUGCUUUUUCAUCUCCUUUGGACUACUGGGACAUAGGAGCCGGGGAGCUUCUGCAGCCUGAAGGAGGACUUCACUAUAGAGACGUCUACUGGAUUCUCACCUGGCAGGUAGGACUAGACGGCCUCCUCCUGUCUAGCAAGGAGAUCCACACAGAGAAAGGGGCAC
rnacentral:lncRNA from 12 species